GAUGAACGCUGGCGGCGUGCCUAAUACAUGCAAGUCGAGCGAACAGACGAGGAGCUUGCUCCUUUGACGUUAGCGGCGGACGGGUGGGUAACACGUGGGUAACCUACCUAUAAGACUGGGAUAACUUCGGGAAACCGGAGCUAAUACCGGAUAAUAUUUCGAACCGCAUGGUUCGAUAGUGAAAGAUGGCUCUGCUAUCACUUAUAGAUGGACCUGCGCCGUAUUAGCUAGUUGGUAAGGUAACGGCUUACCAAGGCAACGAUACGUAGCCGACCUGAGAGGGUGAUCGGCCACACUGGAACUGAGACACGGUCCAGACUCCUACGGGAGGCAGCAGUAGGGAAUCUUCCGCAAUGGGCGAAAGCCUGACGGAGCAACGCCGCGUGAGUGAUGAAGGUCUUCGGAUCGUAAAACUCUGUUAUUAGGGAAGAACAAACGUGUAAGUAACUGUGCACGUCUUGACGGUACCUAAUCAGAAAGCCACGGCUAACUACGUG
rnacentral:rRNA from 1 species